rnacentral:rRNA from 1 species
CCUACGGGGGGCAGCAGUGGGGAAUAUUGGGCAAUGGGGGAAACCCUGACCCAGCGACGCCGCGUGAGGGAAGAAGGUUUUCGGAUUGUAAACCUCUGUCCUUGGUGACGAUAAUGACGGUAGCCAAGGAGGAAGCCACUGCUAACUACGUGCCAGCAGCCGCGGUAAUACGUAGGUGGCAAGCGUUAUCCGGAAUGAUUGGGCGUAAAGGGUGCGCAGGCGGAACCAUAAGUCUGAAGUAAAAGCCAUCGGCUCAACCGAUGUAAGCUUUGGAAACGGUGGAUCUGGAGUGCAGGAGAGGACAG